CCUACGGGGGGCAGCAGUGGGGAAUAUUUUGCAAUUGGCGCAAGCCUGACCCAGCAACGCCGCGUGAAGGAAGAAGGCUUUCGGGUUGUAAACUUCUUUUCUCAGGGACGAAGAAAGUGACGGUACCUGAGGAAUAAGCCACGGCUAACUACGUGCCCGCAGCCGCGGUAAUACGUAGGUGGCAAGCGUUAUCCGGAUUUACUGGGUGUAAAGGGCGUGUAGGCGGGACUGAAAGUCAGAUGUAAACACCACGGGCUCAAAC
rnacentral:rRNA from 1 species